rnacentral:rRNA from 1 species
GAUGAACGCUAGCGGGAGGCUUAACACAUGCAAGCCGAGGGAAAAACUUUUUUCGGAAAGUGGACACCGGCGAACGGGUGCGUAACGCGUAUGCAACUUGCCCCUAUCAAAGGAAUAGCCCAGGGAAACUUGGAUUAAUACCUUAUAAUAUAAGACAUGGCAUCAUGUUUUAUUAAAAGAUUUAUCGGAUAGGGAUAGGCAUGCGUCUGAUUAGUUAGUUGGUGAGGUAAAAGCUCACCAAGGCAACGAUCAGUAGGGGGCCUGAGAGGGUGAUCCCCCACACUGGUACUGAGACACGGACCAGACUCCUACGGGAGGCAGCAGUGAGGAAUAUUGGACAAUGGGUGAAAGCCUGAUCCAGCCAUCCCGCGUGCAGGAAGACAGCCCUAUGGGUUGUAAACUGCUUUUAUAUAGGAAGAAACCUUUUUACGUGUAAAAAGCUGACAUUACUAUACGAAUAAGCAUCGGCUAACUCCGUGCCAGCCGCCGCCGUAACAC